rnacentral:rRNA from 1 species
AACGAACGCUGGCGGCAUGCCUAACACAUGCAAGUCGAACGAGACCUUCGGGUCUAGUGGCGCACGGGUGCGUAACGCGUGGGAACCUGCCCUUAGGUUCGGAAUAACUCCCCGAAAGGGGUGCUAAUACCGGAUAAUGUCUUCGGACCAAAGAUUUAUCGCCUUUGGAUGGGCCCGCGUUGGAUUAGCUAGUUGGUAGGGUAAAAGCCUACCAAGGCGACGAUCCAUAGCUGGUCUGAGAGGAUGAUCAGCCACACUGGGACUGAGACACGGCCCAGACUCCUACGGGAGGCAGCAGUGGGGAAUAUUGGACAAUGGGCGAAAGCCUGAUCCAGCAAUGCCGCGUGAGUGAUGAAGGCCUUAGGGUUGUAAAGCUCUUUUACCCGGGAUGAUAAUGACAGUACCGGGAGAAUAAGCUCCGGCUAACUCAGU